UACGUAGGGGGCGAGCGUUAUCCGGAAUUAUUGGGCGUAAAGAGUGCGUAGGCGGUUUUUUAAGCGCGGGGUGAAAGGCAAUGGCUUAACCAUUGUUAGCCCUGCGAACUGGGAGACUUGAGUGCAGGAGAGGAAAGCGGAAUUCCUAGUGUAGCGGUGAAAUGCGUAGAUAUUAGGAGGAACACCAGUGGCGAAGGCGGCUUUCUGGACUGUAACUGACGCUGAGGCACGAAAGUGUGGGGAGCAAACAGG
rnacentral:rRNA from 1 species